UACGUAGGGACCAAGCGUUGUUCGGAUUUACUGGGCGUAAAGGGCUCGUAGGCGGCCAACUAAGUCAGACGUGAAAUCCCUCAGCUUAACUGGGGAACUGCGUCUGAUACUGGAUGGCUUGGAUUCGGGAGAGGAAUGCGGAAUUCCUGGUGUAGCGGUGAAAUGCGCAGAUAUCAGGAGGAACACCGAUGGCGAAGGCAGGUCUCUGGGCCAUAACUGACGCUGAGAAGCGAAAGCAUGGGGAGCGAACAGG
rnacentral:rRNA from 1 species